GUGACCAAUCAGGUGGCUUGGGCUCUUCCUGCCCUUCCUGGUUGUGGGUGUGGCCAAAGCAUUUAAAACCCAGCAGUGGCAGAAGUCAGCGCUCUCGCUCACAGCCUCACUGUACCAGCACCACCUGCCAUGGUCAGUCCAGACCCCUCACUGCUGACGGUGUUAUCAGAUGAGGAUGCAGAUGCAGCUAUUUGUUUUGAGACAUUCUGCUGAUGAAGAGACCAUCUGUUAGAAGAUGAAAGCUACCUUCAUUAAUCAUCAUUCAAUGGUCAAGGAUGAAACGAAUGCAGCAGAUGUCUUCUCAGUGUUCCCAUGGUUUCUGGACACACAAGGACUGAUAGAACAAGACUUCAGACUUCUGUUUGGUGUGGUCACUGCCAACAAAUUCUUGGAGAGGUAGCCUGCCAGUUUUUAAAACAAAAGUUGUGAAGGAAAGCCACCACAGAGCUCUUGGAGUUAAUGUACGAUGC